AGAGUUUGAUCAUGGCUCAGGACGAACGCUGGCGGCGUGCCUAAUACAUGCAAGUCGAGCGGAUCUUGUCCUUCGGGACAAGGUUAGCGGCGGACGGGUGAGUAACACGUGGGUAACCUGCCCAUAAGACCGGGAUAACAUUCGGAAACGAAUGCUAAUACCGGAUACGCGAAACGGUCGCAUGAUCGAAUCGGGAAAGG
rnacentral:rRNA from 1 species